UAUACAAACUCUUUACAACUUCACUUCUUUCAAUUCUAAGGUCGGAGAAAGUCAUGACUAAACCUUCACACUCAUCACUCAAGGUGAUUCUAAGCAUUGGAUCAUUACACUCCUAUCCUCUUUUAAAGGAGUCUACUCACUCAACAUCCAUCAAAACUCAUCAUGGCUAAGUUGGAUUAUACCAACCAACACAUAUGGCAAUAAUUAAACCCAUGAAUACUAAGG
rnacentral:lncRNA from 1 species